GCAAGUCGAACGAGAACGGCUCUAGCUUGCUAGAGUGUCAGCUAAGUGGCGCACGGGUGAGUAAUGUAUAGGUAACCUGCCCCGAAGAGCGGGAUAACGUCUGGAAACGGACGCUAAUACUGCAUAUACCUUUAAAACUCAAGUUUAAAAGGGAAAUGAAUUUCGCUUCGGGAUGGGCCUUUAUUGCAUCAGCUAGUUGGUAAGGUAACGGCUUACCAAGGCUAUGACGCGUAGCUGAUCUGAGAGGUUGAAC
rnacentral:rRNA from 1 species